rnacentral:sRNA from 1 species
AGCAGCCGCGGUAAUUCCAGCUCCAAUAGCGUAUAUUAAAGUUGUUGCAGUUAAAAAGCUCGUAGUUGAAUUUCGGGGUCAGUAGAUUGGUCGUGCCACUGGUAUGUACUGGUCUUACUGGCUCCUCCUUCCUGAUGAACCGUAAUGCCAUUAAUUUGGUGUUGCGGGGAAACUGGACUGUUACUUUGAAAAAAUUAGAGUGUUUAAAGCAGGCUAACGCUUGAAUACAUUAGCAUGGAAUAAUGAAAUAGGACGUUCGAUCUUAUUUUGUUGGUUUCUAGGAUUGACGUAAUGAUUAAUAGGGAUAGUUGGGGGCAUUAGUAUUCAAUUGUCAGAGGUGAAAUUCUUGGAUUUAUUGAAGACUAACUACUGCGAAAGCAUUUGCCAAGGAUGUUUUCAUUAAUCAAGAACGAAAGUUAGGGGAUCGAAGACGAUCAGAUACCGUCGUAGUCUUAACCAUAAACUAUGCCGACUAGGGAUCGGAUGAUGUUAAUUUUUUAAUGACUCAUUCGGCGCCUUA